UAAGCAGGCCGUUUUAUCGCUUCUCCCUGUAAAACGGGAGGGGAGGAAAGUCCGGGCAACGCAGGGCACCAUGCUUCCUAACGGGAAGAUAUCCGUGAGGGUAUAGUAACGGAACAGAAAAUAACAGCCCCGGAACGCGUGUCGUUUUGAGGUAAGGGUGAAAAGGUGGGGUAAGAGCCCACCGGUAUUGGCGGCAACGUCGGUAGCCGUGCGUCUGAUGGGUUGUAAGACCAUGUAUAUCCCGAUUAUCUGCCUCGGCAGGUUACAGUGCUGCCCGCGCUGGUCCUUUGGAAUCGGGAGGGGUAGGUCGCUCGAGGCCGUUGGCGACAGCGGUCCCAGAUAAAUGAUAGAAGUCCGCUUCGGUGGAAACAGAACCCGGCUUACAGGCCUGCUUUUAUU
rnacentral:RNase_P_RNA from 1 species